UCCUCUUUAAAGAUUGUUUAGAUUAAUUCUUUGCCAUCAAAGUCUCAUUUGAAGACCUUUUCGCCAUUGGCAAUGUUAUUUUCAUUUGAAAAUCAUGAAACUAGAGCUGCCUUUUUGAAUCACCUCCCCUUGUGCAUGCCUUAGCUUGGCUAUUUCCAUGUCAAGCAAUUCUAGUUUCACUAUUUUUCUUGUGCUUAAAAUGUGGUGAUGAUUCUGUAUAUUUUUUCCUCUUAACCCGCUGUUGACAUUAUGGCUUGCAAGAGAACAAUUGCCACAAGUACAGAUGGUUUGUUUAGCUUCUUUCCAUUGCAAUAUCACCUAUUUCUGUUGCAGAAGACCAAAAAAGGGAAGAAGAAUAAGACUAAAAACAGAAGAAGAAGAAUUGAAAAUUGUUAAGAGGAUGGAAAUACAAAAGCCUUUGCCUCUGUUACUAAUAAUGUCAAACAAAAUCCUAGUAGAACAGCAAGCUUGAUUUUCGUAGAUCCAGGUUGGGCAAUUUGGUCUAAUUAAGCUGUAGGGGUGUGAAUUGAUAAGACCAAAUCAAUCCCCAACCCACAUACUUAUCAUAAUACCAUGUAUCCAUGUAUAAUUAAUAAUCAAUCCCCAACGCAUAGGUCCACAGAACUUUAAAACCCUAAUCAUAGUCAGAAAUUGUUGCACAUGUUAUGAAGCGAGUAAAACUUGACAUGUUCAUCAAAACCAAGACAGAAGAGCAAUAUAACGAACAGAUAUUGAUCCGAAAGAAAAAAAAAACAAAUCUCAAAGUUACAUGAUACAAGGUUUCGAAAACAAAUAAAUUCGUGUUAUGCACCUUGGUGAUCUGAGAUUUCCAUUCCGAAAUUGCCCGAAUCAUUUCGCUUCGGAUAUCCGAAUCAUUCUCAUAAAUCUGACAGAAUUCUCCAGUUGAUGCCUGAGGUUGUUAUUCAGAAAGCAUGUCGAUAAACGAGCUUCCUCCUUCAACUUCAACAUCAACAUCAUCUUCAUCUUCGUAAGGUCUGCAGACGAAUACGACGAGAAGAAAGCGAGUCUCUGAAGUCUGAAGUGAAAAUUGAAGAGCAUUACUCAUCAGGAAUUUGAAACUUCAAGCCUUUGUUCUUGCAUUGAAAGUGCAAUGCAAAACAAUGAGCAUGGUUUUGCUAAUUGAGGAAUUUUCCGGCUACGAGGACUGGAUUUUUCUGGCAGGAUACGAAGGAUGGCGCGAUUAUUGCAA
rnacentral:lncRNA from 1 species